rnacentral:rRNA from 1 species
GAUGAACGCUGGCGGCGUGCCUAAUACAUGCAAGUCGAGCGAACGGACGAGAAGCUUGCUUCUCUGAUGUUAGCGGCGGACGGGUGAGUAACACGUGGAUAACCUACCUAUAAGACUGGGAUAACUUCGGGAAACCGGAGCUAAUACCGGAUAAUAUUUUGAACCGCAUGGUUCAAAAGUGAAAGACGGUCUUGCUGUCACUUAUAGAUGGAUCCGCGCUGCAUUAGCUAGUUGGUAAGGUAACGGCUUACCAAGGCAACGAUGCAUAGCCGACCUGAGAGGGUGAUCGGCCACACUUGAACUGAGACACGGUCCAGACUACUACGGGAGGCAGCAGUAGGGAAUCUUACGCAAUGGGCGAAAGCCUGACGGAGCAACGCCGCGUGAGUGAUGAAGGUCUUCGGAUCGUAAAACUCUGUUAUUAGGGAAGAACAUAUGUGUAAGUAACUGUGCACAUCUUGACGGUACCUAAUCAGAAAGCCACGGCUAACUACGUG